GGUUCUAUAGUGUAGUGGUUAGCACUUCGGAUUCUGAUUCCGGCAACCCUUUACUGGACUU
rnacentral:tRNA from 1 species